rnacentral:rRNA from 1 species
GGGAGCCUACGGGGGGCAGCAGUGGGGAAUAUUGCACAAUAGGGGAAACCCUGAUGCAGCAACGCCGCGUGAGUGAAGAAGUAUUUCGGUAUGUAAAGCUCUAUCAGCAGGGAAGAAGAAAGACGGUACUUGACUAAGAAGCCCCGGCUAACUACGUGCCAGCAGCCGCGGUAAUACGUAGGGGGCAAGCGUUAUCCGGAUUUACUGGGUGUAAAGGGAGCGUAGACGGCUGUGCAAGUCUGAAGUGAAAUGCCGGGGCCCAACCCCGGAACUGCUUUGGAAACUGUACAGCUAGAGUGCAGGAG